GGAGGGCGUGGGGGGGGGUUACGGAUUUAUAAAUAAAGGCUGGUCGCGAGCCUUUGGGUACAUUACAAACGCACACGCACUCACGGACACACACACUCUGAUGCACACGCACACACACACACAUACUCAUACACACACAUACCACCAGAGCCAUCUCUCUCCGGGGAAUUAGCUGUCACCACCACCACCGUGAGGCUGAUGGUGGCUAUGCGCAGCCAGCUGUGUCUAUGGCGGGGAGCGCCUAAUAAAGUUCUCCUCAAUCACAGGAAGGGGCACGCUGAUGAUACACAUCAAGAUUCGGGGGGGGGGGGGGGAGAGUGAUGUCAUCGGACCGGAGGCCAAACUAUCGCACAUCCAAUUUCAUACCCAAAUGCCUUUAUUGAUUGCAUUUCUUGAAUAUAUGGUUACUGUUUAAAUAUACCGGAAGUGUAUUUUGUGUGUGUGUGUGUGUGUGUGUGUGUGUGUGUGUGUUUCCCGUACACAGUGGACCCUCAGUUCUACGUCACAGUGACCAUCUCUUCGCUGCUUAUCUUCACGGCAGUCGUCAUAACCGCCAAACUAUGUUACGACCGCAGCUGCUCCCAGCAUCCGCCCCCGCUCUCCCGCGCCGCGGCCCCUCCCCUCACCCUGGCGCUCCCUCGCUCCCUGGCUCCCGAGGACAGCCGGCAGACCCUCCACAGCCCCCCCUUCACCGACCGCGAGAGCCAGGAUCCCCGUCGUAAACCUCUGAGGUGACUGUUCUUCCCCCCCCCCAUUUGAUAAACACUUCUGUGGAGCCUGCGGAGAGCCAUCAACAAGACCUGAGGUUGUGCCCGUGGCGCCAUUUUGUUCUUCCUUGAGACUGUGAAAUGAAAUCAGGGAUUCCAGGUGCCCAAUUGUUGCGAAGCAUCACGGCUUUUCCCUGAGGUGUUAAAGAAAAAAAAAAAAAGAGACAAGCUCAUCUUCCUGCUCCUCGCUUUCUUCCUUCCACUCCCCGGCUCGCCCUGGCUCUCCGGCGCUGGGUGUGAAUCUCUCUCGUCCCCCCCCUUGGUUUUAAUGCCUCUGUAGCAGGAUCACUGGCUCCUAGCCGCUACUGCCGCGAGCUGCACCUGACCAACCAACUGCUUCAAACCGCCGUGGCUAAUUCAAAAACAAGCCUGUCGUCUCCCACCCUCCAAGGCGACACCUUGCCCCAGCUUCCACGUUUGCGGGGGAUACAAUUGCACAUCUGUCGUCUCUGCCCCGCAAAAAACAAAAAUAAAGACGCUAGAGCCGUUGAAUCCAGCAAAUCCCAGCUUUCUUUUUGGAUGAAGCCGCACAUUACAAACGCGCAGUAGUGAUGGAUAUUGUCGGUUGGUAAACGGUUAAUGAAAGCCAUUCUCUGGCAUUCUCCUAAGACUGAAGAGGGAGGGGGAAUGGUUUAUCACAAAGCUGUAGCCGGCAGGCAACGUGUUUACCAUGUCACGCUCCAGAAACCGCUGUUCAUUCCUGCUUUGGGCGCCGCGAAAAAAAUUCAAAUACCACGGCUUUCCCCCCCCCCUCCACAACCACGUUGGCAAAGAGAAGGCCGUUUUGUCUCGCAGGUUAUUUUUUUCCCCUUCAUGAUUUGUUCUCUUAAUUAUCUGGAUGAUGUAGUGUCAUGUUUUUGUUGGGCCUUCGCGGGCAUCCUGGUCUCUGCUGGACCCACGAGGACGGGUUCUUCAACACAGUAUUUCUUCCAGAGGUGGUGGGGUUAUCAGACGAUACACACACACACACAUACACACACAGAAAGGGCAUUGCUGUUACAAUCAAUAUUUUAAAGCUGGUACAAGUCUGGUUUAUAUGGUGUUGCCGUGAAAAGUAUAUAAAUGUCAUUACGUAGAGAAUCGAACUAUAAAUAAAGAUGAGUCAAACGUGUCGCCGAGUAUUGCAAACUGAUGUUAAACAUUUUAGCUAUCUCAGUUCACUGAACUGUUCAAAUAAUGACAUCAUGGUGAUUGCCAUCAUCAUCAGUACCAAUCAUCCAAUGGCUGCCGAUCUGGGUGAGAUGAUCGAUGACAGAUUGAUGACAGAUUUGCAGUGCACAUGAAGGAACGCCACUUCCAGCCCUGUAGGCCUACAAGGGUUUUGCAUGUGUACGGUAAAACAACAACUAUAUAUCAACAUUGCAUUUGCAUAGAGUAAACGUAUGAAUACAUGUAUGUUUUUAUAUAUCAGUGAGUACUAUCUUCCGGAAUACUUCAACAACCAAAUUAGUUUGGUUCUUAUCUUUUUCGAAGCAGCUCUGAGGAAAUACCUCUCACUCCACCUCUCUCGUCAAUUUUUUAACAAAACCUCUAACACAAACACAUAGUGCUGGUCAUCACGUUGCGAGUCUUUCAGUAAACCAGUGUCUUGUGGUUUUUAGUAGCAUUCCUGUAGGCAUCCAGCCUUUCUGUACUGUUAAAAAUCAACAAUAAAAAGGCAUAACUCUUGUGUUCAA